rnacentral:rRNA from 2 species
GACGCUGGCGGCGUGCCUAAUACAUGCAAGUCGAACGAACUCUGGUAUUGAUUGGUGCUUGCAUCAUGAUUUACAUUUGAGUGAGUGGCGAACUGGUGAGUAACACGUGGGAAACCUGCCCAGAAGCGGGGGAUAACACCUGGAAACAGAUGCUAAUACCGCAUAACAACUUGGACCGCAUGGUCCGAGUUUGAAAGAUGGCUUCGGCUAUCACUUUUGGAUGGUCCCGCGGCGUAUUAGCUAGAUGGUGGGGUAACGGCUCACCAUGGCAAUGAUACGUAGCCGACCUGAGAGGGUAAUCGGCCACAUUGGGACUGAGACACGGCCCAAACUCCUACGGGAGGCAGCAGUAGGGAAUCUUCCACAAUGGACGAAAGUCUGAUGGAGCAACGCCGCGUGAGUGAAGAAGGGUUUCGGCUCGUAAAACUCUGUUGUUAAAGAAGAACAUAUCUGAGAGUAACUGUUCAGGUAUUGACGGUAUUUAACCAGAAAGCCACGGCUAACUACGUGCCAGCAGCCGCGGUAAUACGUAGGUGGCAAGCGUUGUCCGGAUUUAUUGGGCGUAAAGCGAGCGCAGGCGGUUUUUUAAGUCUGAUGUGAAAGCCUUCGGCUCAACCGAAGAAGUGCAUCGGAAACUGGGAAACUUGAGUGCAGAAGAGGACAGUGGAACUCCAUGUGUAGCGGUGAAAUGCGUAGAUAUAUGGAAGAACACCAGUGGCGAAGGCGGCUGUCUGGUCUGUAACUGACGCUGAGGCUCGAAAGUAUGGGUAGCAAACAGGAUUAGAUACCCUGGUAGUCCAUACCGUAAACGAUGAAUGCUAAGUGUUGGAGGGUUUCCGCCCUUCAGUGCUGCAGCUAACGCAUUAAGCAUUCCGCCUGGGGAGUACGGCCGCAAGGCUGAAACUCAAAGGAAUUGACGGGGGCCCGCACAAGCGGUGGAGCAUGUGGUUUAAUUCGAAGCUACGCGAAGAACCUUACCAGGUCUUGACAUACUAUGCAAAUCUAAGAGAUUAGACGUUCCCUUCGGGGACAUGGAUACAGGUGGUGCAUGGUUGUCGUCAGCUCGUGUCGUGAGAUGUUGGGUUAAGUCCCGCAACGAGCGCAACCCUUAUUAUCAGUUGCCAGCAUUAAGUUGGGCACUCUGGUGAGACUGCCGGUGACAAACCGGAGGAAGGUGGGGAUGACGUCAAAUCAUCAUGCCCCUUAUGACCUGGGCUACACACGUGCUACAAUGGAUGGUACAACGAGUUGCGAACUCGCGAGAGUAAGCUAAUCUCUUAAAGCCAUUCUCAGUUCGGAUUGUAGGCUGCAACUCGCCUACAUGAAGUCGGAAUCGCUAGUAAUCGCGGAUCAGCAUGCCGCGGUGAAUACGUUCCCGGGCCUUGUACACACCGCCCGUCACACCAUGAGAGUUUGUAACACCCAAAGUCGGUGGGGUAACCUUUUAGGAACCAGCCGCCUAAGGUGGGACAGAUGAUU